UGCAAGUCGAGCGGUAAGGCUUUCACAGAUUGUUUAACCAGAUAAGUCUACUUAGGUAGAUACUGUCUGAAGCGAUGUUCACUAGGCUAGUGAAUAAGGUUGAACGAUGUGUGAAAGUACACGAGCGGCGGACGGCUGAGUAACGCGUAGGAACGUACCCCAAACUGAGGGAUAAGCACCAGAAAUGGUGUCUAAUACCGCAUGUGAUCUUCGGAUUAAAGCUUCGGCGGUUUGGGAACGGCCUGCGUAUGAUUAGCUUGUUGGUGAGGUAAAAGCUCACCAAGGCGACGAUCAUUAGCUGGUCUGAGAGGAUGAUCAGCCAGACUGGGACUGAGACACGGCCCAGACUCCUACGGGAGGCAGCAGUAGGGAAUCUUCCACAAUGGGCGAAAGCCUGAUGGAGCAACGCCGCGUGCAGGAUGAAGGCCUUAGGGUUGUAAACUGCUUUUAUAUGU
rnacentral:rRNA from 1 species